GACAGAGGGUGCAAACGUUGUUCGGAAUUACUGGGCGUAAAGCGCGUGUAGGCGGCUAAGUAAGUCGGGCGUGAAAUCCCACGGCUCAACCGUGGAAGUGCACUCGAAACUGCAUAGCUAGAGUCCUGGAGAGGAAGGUGGAAUGCUUGGUGUAGAGGUGAAAUUCGUAGAUAUCAAGCGGAAACACCGAUGGCGAAGGCAGUCCCCUGGGCCUGUACUGACGCUCAUGCACGAAAGCGUGGGGAGCAAACAGG
rnacentral:rRNA from 1 species